AGAAAUAUGUUUAGCUGAAGACUUAAGAAAGAUUACUAUUGAUGCAGGCGCAAAAGUAAGAGUAAAAGAAGAAAGCGUUAAAGAGUAAUGUUCGAAUAAGCGCUAAUUAUGCGAGUAAAUGGAUAAUAACGCGUAUAAAGAAAAGAAAAAAAAAUAUACAGAAAAAUAUAAAACAAAAAAUAUGCGUGAUGUAAAUGAAUAAUAAUACAGAAAUUCGUUAGGAAAUGAAAUUAAAUGUUGUCUGCCCCAUGAUUACUCUUGGUAUUAAAAAGUUGUGCUCUUGCGAGAACGAGCACAAAGAAUUUUUUUAAAUACUUAGAUUAACGAGUAUUCACACGAUAUAACUGCACAAUAAAAAAAGUAAAAUAAAAAAUAUAAGCCGACACACAUUGCGUACAAUGCAAUCAAACGAAAAGAUAUGGUUACUAUAUAAAAUACACGAACAAGUAUUGAUCGCCUGAGUCGUUUAGUUGUCGAAGCUAUUUAAGUAAGGAUCGUGGGGUGGACAUGUAGUAUAUAUGAUAUACAAAUAUAUAUAAAUAAAUAAAUAAAUAUAUAUGUAUAUUUAUAUAUUAUAUAAAUAUAUAUGUAUAUGAUAUAAAUAUAAUUCAUUGAAUUAAAAUGAUUGAAUGACUGCGUGAAUGAUAACUGAUAAUGCAUUAAAAUAAAAAGGAAGAAUGACUCGUACGAUUAUAAAUGUGUUUUUAAAUUACAAAAAAAUAAAAUAAAUAUUUCAUUCUCAUUCUGUGAUGACUGUCUGAAUAUGAAAAGAAAAGAAGAAAUGUUUUCAUGAAUCUAUGCUGAUUAAUUAAUUAAAUUAUUAUAGCGAAUAAACAAUUCGACUCGUGUUGUACUAAUUGUGCAAAAGAAAUAAAAUGAAAUCACCUACAAGUGUGAAAAUAUGUGCGUCUCAUUCGCUCGUGUCGAUGAGAGACGCGUUAUGUUCGUAUAGCGUGUUAUAUAUGAAUCAUAUACACUAUUUAAACAAAAAAGGGAGAACACGUACGCUAUAUCUGAAUGCAGAGAACAAACAGUAUGAUUUGUAUACUGUAUAACUUUAGUCGUUUACUAUUGAUUUCGAGAAAUGUGUAUAAAUUAUUAUGUGUAAUUAAACAAAGAUCAUUUAGUAAAUUCUAAGAGUAUAUAAUAUAUAUAAUAUAUAUAUAUAUAGAUAUAUAUAUUAUACAAAAAACUGAAUCACACAUGCGCGCGUGCGCGCACAUGCACAUAUACAAAUAAAAAACAUACCAAGAUAUUGUGAAAAUUACAAAAUCAACAGUACUGCAAGGCCAUUGUAUUAUACAUUUGUGUAACUAAAAUAGCGAUGAGAUAAUAUAUCGAAAAUACUUCAUUCAUAAUUAAUUAUGAAGUAAAUGUUGAGACACAUUGUUACGUGAAGUAAUAUGUUAUAUUAAUUGUAACAAAUUUAUAUAUUACACUUGGAAGUACACUAUAUUUAUAAAUAUUAAGAGACUAUUCAAACACUAGUAUAACAUAUUAAA